UCGAGCGCGCUUCGGGUCAGCGCGUACGGGUAGUACGCGUGGGAACGUGCCCAUCUCUACGGAAUAGCCUCUGGAAACGGAGAGUAAUACCGUAUACGCCCUUUGGGGGAAAGAUUUAUCGGAGAAGGAUCGGCCCGCGUUAGAUUAGGUAGUUGGUGGGGUAACGGCCUACCAAGCCUACGAUCUAUAGCUGGUUUUAGAGGAUGAUCAGCAACACUGGGACUGAGACACGGCCCAGACUCCUACGGGAGGCAGCAGUGGGGAAUCUUAGACAAUGGGGGCAACCCUGAUCUAGCCAUGCCGCGUGAGUGAUGAAGGCCUUAGGGUCGUAAAGCUCUUUCGCCUGUGAUGAUAAUGACAGUAGCAGGUAAAGAAACCCCGGCUAACUCCGUGCCAGCAGCCGCGGUAAUACGGAGGGGGUUAGCGUUGUUCGGAAUUACUGGGCGUAAAGCGCGCGUAGGCGGAUUAGAAAGUUGGGGGUGAAAUCCCGGGGCUCAACCCCGGAACUGCCUCCAAAAAUGCUAGUCUAGAGUACGAGAGAGGUGA
rnacentral:rRNA from 1 species